UUCUUCAUAUCUUGAAUGGCCUGGAUAAUUUUGUUUCAAAUAUUUUAUUAAUUGUUAUUUUUCUAAAAUUGCAAAUAUGUAUUUUGUUUAAAAGCAUAUGUAUAUUUUUGCGAAGCUGAUUUUGUAUGAAACUCUUUGAAAUCCAUGCUAUAGUUUUUCCUACUGGGAUUUCCUCCGUCUCACCCCCUUCCAGUUUCAGGUACCAAAGAUGAUCUUGGAUUGGUAGUUACGGGCUUAGGUAGAAGAGUUGGCGUUGAGGAUUUUAUUUAGAAAAAAUUCGGGGCGUGACAGAAUGGUAUCAAAACCUGUACCCAGCCGGAAGUGUGAGUUUAGUGAUGAUGUUAUCUGGUGUGUGUGUGCGAGUGUUUAGUAUUGACUAGUUACCACUUGUAGCCGGGUGUGUGUGUCCGGAUGUCAUGCACUGGCAGCUAUUGGGAGGAUUACUAUCGGUGAUUAGGGGCAGGUGUCCCUAGAUCACUAUCGGUUUUAUUUUGUGGACGAGUGACGGCAUCGUCUAGUUACCACAACGGUUACACAGUGUGUGGGUGGAUAACUAGCACUGUCAACUACCACAAUAUUUUUUCAUGUCACUGAUUUUCACGUCGCCUGGGGUAAGGAUUUUAGGAUUUUGUUUUACCACUUUUGAUGUUUUCGGGUAUACGAAGAUUGUUCGAUCUGAAUUUCAGGACGAAAUUCUUUUUAAGUGGUGGAGAAUGUAACAACCCGGAUUUUUAAGUGUUGAAAUUCAAUUUAUUUCAUGACAUUUAAAUUGUCAUAGUUGAUAAUUUAAUUUUUUUAUUUGAAGACUUACCCAAUUUAAAUAUUUAUUGGGUUUAAAUUAUUAUCACAAGGUAUGCACUUGUAUAUAUAUAUUUGUGAUAUAUAUAUUAAGUUUGAUUGAGCAUUUAUUUUAAAUUGAAGAUUUACCAAUUAGAAAUUGGUUCAUUGAUUUUUGAAUUGGAGACUAGAGUUUAAAUUUAAUUUUUAUUUCAUUUCAUGAUUUUAGUUAUCAUGGGAGAUGGCAACCGAAAAUUUGUAGAAGAGAGAAGAUUGAAUAUUUUAUUUUAAUUGAAUUUACCCACUUUAGAUUGUUAGUGGAAAUAGAAUUGGUUUACAGCUUUUGUAUAUAUAAAUGACCAUAUAUAUAUAUAUAAAUUGUGGCAUCAGCUUGUGAUGAAGGAGCAAGUUGGUUCCAAAAGUGGACUUGAUUGUAUAUCUAUUUUGGUGAUGAAGGAAGCUUAAUUGAUGGGUUGACCGAGAUUUUAAAAAGAAAAAAGUAAAAUGGAAUUGGUUGUCCGCGGGCCCCACUUGUUAUUUAAAAGAGUUGAGAAUGGUUUGAUUUGGUUAUGAUAUAUAUAUAUAUAUAUAUAUAUAUAUAUAUAUAUAUAUAUAUAUCUUGUCUGCCAAAAUGAGGAGCCGAGAUUGGGAUGAGGUGAAUGGGUACGUGGCAAAAGGUGGAAGCCAAUAUAGGUUUUGAUUUUGUGAUAGUGGGCAAGUCCCACUUGAGAGUAUUAAUGGGUUGAAUUUAUUACAUAUAUAUAUGUAUAUAUAUAUAUAGCAAUUGAUGAAAUGAUGCAUAAAGGGGGCAGCCGAGAUUGUGAAAGGAAGAAAGAUGAAUUAUGGUGGCAGGUCCCAUUAAUUGAUAUUUUGGCAUUAUUUAUUUGACUUUGGCUUUUUUUCACGUUUUGAAUGAUUUUAGAUUGCAUUCUUUGUAUUUGGAAUUUGAUUGUUAAAGUGAUAUAUGAAGUGAUAAGGAAAAGUAAGAGAUAAAGGUGAUGGCGAGUCCACUAAAGUUUGUUGUCCCCUAAGCAAUUGAAUUGAUUCAUUUUAGUUUAUUUGUGAAGUGUCGGUACAAUUGUCUAUAUAUAUUGUGCCUUUUGGUGAUGAUACAGAAGAGAGAAAUAAAGGAAACAUUCACAGAAAGAUCCGAGAGUUUCAGAGGGGGCUGGGAGCAGUGAUGUUGAUGACCAGUGUUGAUUUAUUCAUUUUACAGAUUUCAGGUACUGAGGAUGCUUGAGGAUUUUUAGCUUCGGGCUUAGGUGGAAGAGUUGGUGUUGAGGAAUUAAAUUAUUUUAUUUAAAAAAUUUUAUGUAUUUAUUUGAGGAAAUUGAUUUAGUAUCAAUAUAAUUAAUUUGAGAUGUUGUCUUGUUUAUUUGAGGAAAUUUGAUUGAUUUUGUAUCAAUAAAGGGUAUUUUAUUUCUUUUGAGAUCCUGUGUGUCUUUUAUGAAGUAUUUUGAUUUGAAUAAAUCGAGGAUUUUAUUUAGAAAAAUUCGGGGCGUUACAAGCUGCACAAGCUAAAUGACUAACUGGAUUACUUGCUACUUAUGUUUAAGUCAGAUCAGCUGCACAAGUUCAAUGACUGACUGGAUUACUUGCUACUUAUAUUUAAGUCAGAUCAGCUAAACAAGUUGAAUGACUACUUGGAUUUCUUAUGGAUGGAUAUGAUAGGAUUUUUAUAUAUAUAAUUAUGGUACCACGAUAUGAGCUUGAGUCUCAGGAUCGAUGGUUAGGGAGUAUAUAUGCAUUGGGAUGCAUAAUUAGCUUUGAUGGUAGAUGUAUACCCUGUUAGGUCUAGGUACUCAUGCCCACCUCUGGUGCGUGUUGCAUGUUGUCUUCUAUUCAGGUUAAGACCCCCUUUGUAGUCCAGUGAGAGUCCCUUAGUGUGGAUAUAUAUUUGUAUAGAAUAGAUUAGAUAUUGUUGAGUUAUCUAGGCUAUAUCUGCGUAUCAGGUCUCUGUUUGGAUUGUAAAUAGGAUGUAACCUGUUCGUGGGCCUGACCCACUAUUAUUG